GAGUUUGAUCAUGGCUCAGGAUGAACGCUGGCGGCGUGCCUAAUACAUGCAAGUCGAGCGAACGGACGAGAAGCUUGCUUCUCUGAUGUUAGCGGCGGACGGGUGAGUAACACGUGGGUAACCUACCUAUAAGACUGGGAUAACUCCGGGAAACCGGGGCUAAUACCGGAUAACACAUGAAACCGCAUGGUUUCAUGAUGAAAGACGGUCUUGCUGUCACUUAUAGAUGGAUCCGCGCUGCAUUAGCUAGUUGGUAAGGUAACGGCUUACCAAGGCAACGAUGCAUAGCCGACCUGAGAGGGUGAUCGGCCACACUGGAACUGAGACACGGUCCAGACUCCUACGGGAGGCAGCAGUAGGGAAUCUUCCGCAAUGGGCGAAAGCCUGACGGAGCAACGCCGCGUGAGUGAUGAAGGUCUUCGGAUCGUAAAACUCUGUUAUUAGGAAGAACAUAUGUGUAAGUAACUGUGCACAUCUUGACGGUACCUAAUCAGAAAGCCACGGCUAA
rnacentral:rRNA from 1 species